rnacentral:rRNA from 1 species
GACGUAGGGCGCGAGCGUUGUCCGGAUUUAUUGGGCGUAAAGAGCUCGUAGGCGGCUUGUUGCGUCAGCUGUGAAAACCCGCAGCUUAACUGUGGGCUUGCAGCUGAUACGGGCGGGCUAGAGUUCGGUAGGGGAGACUGGAAUUCCUGGUGUAGCGGUGAAAUGCGCAGAUAUCAGGAGGAACACCGGUGGCGAAGGCGGGUCUCUGGGCCGAUACUGACGCUGAGGAGCGAAAGCGUGGGGAGCGAACAGG